rnacentral:rRNA from 1 species
AUACGUAGGGGGCGAGCGUUGUCCGGAAUGAUUGGGCGUAAAGGGCGCGUAGGCGGCCCGGUAAGUCUGGAGUGAAAGUCCUGCUUUUAAGGUGGGAAUUGCUUUGGAUACUGUCGGGCUUGAGUGCAGGAGAGGUAAGAGGAAUUCCCCGUGUAGCGGUGAAAUGCGUAGAGAUUGGGAGGAACACCAGUGGCGAAGGCGACUUACUGGACUGUAACUGACGCUGAGGCGCGAAAGUGUGGGGAGCAAACAGGAUUAGAUACCCUGGUAGUCCACACUGUAAACGAUGAAUGCUAGGUGUAGGGGGUAUCGACCCCUUCUGUGCCGCAGUUAACACAAUAAGCAUUCCGCCUGGGGAGUACGGCCGCAAGGUUGAAACUCAAAGGAAUUGACGGGG